CCUACGGGAGGCAGCAGUGGGGGAUAUUGCACAAUGGGGGGAACCCUGAUGCAGCGACGCCGCGUGGGUGAAGAAGCGCCUCGGCGCGUAAAGCCCUGUCAGCAGGGAAGAAAAUGACGGUACCUGAAGAAGAAGCCCCUGCUAACUACGUGCCAGCAGCCGCGGUAAUACGGAGGGGGCAAGCGUUAUCCGGAUUUACUGGGUGUAAAGGUGGCGCAGACGGCGAUGCAAGCCAGGAGUGAAUGCCCGGGGCCCAACCCCGGGACUGCUCUUGGAACUGGGUGGCUGGAGUGCAGGAGGGGCAGGCGGAAUUCCGGGUGUAGCGGUGAAAUGCGGAGAGAUCAGGAGGAACACCGGUGGCGAAGGCGGCCUGCUGGACUGCAACUGACGUUGAGGCCCGAAAGCGUGGGGAGCAAACAGGAUUAGAUACCCCUGUAGUC
rnacentral:rRNA from 1 species